rnacentral:rRNA from 1 species
CAGCAGCCACGGGAAAACAGAGGUCCCGAGCGUUGUUCGGAUUCACUGGGCGUAAAGGGUGUGUAGGAGGUUGGAUAAGUCAGGUGUGAAAUCCCGCAGCUCAACUGCGGAACUGCAUUCGAUACUGUUCAACUAGGGGAUCGGAGGGGGAAGCGGAAUUCUUGGUGUAGCGGUGAAAUGCGUAGAUAUCAAGAGGAACACCGGUGGCGAAGGCGGCUUCCUGGAAGAUACCUGACUCUGAAACACGAAAGCCAGGGGAGCGAAUGGGAUUAGAUACCCCGGUAGUCCCUGUCUCUUAUAC